rnacentral:rRNA from 1 species
AGGGCACCACCAGGAGUGGAGCCUGCGGCUUAAUUUGACUCAACACGGGGAAACUCACCCGGCCCGGACGCCGGAAGGAUUGACAGAUUGAUAGCUCUUUCUUGAUUCGGUGGAUGGUGGUGCAUGGCCGUUCUUAGUUGGUGGAGCGAUCUGUCUGGUUAAUUCCGAUAACGAACGAGACUCUAGCCUAUUAAAUAGACGUCGGGUUCUCUGCACUCGACGGUCUUCUUAGAGGGACAAGGUGCUUUUAGCACCGCGAAACAGAGCAAUAACAGGUCUGUGAUGCCCUUAGAUGUCCGGGGCCGCACGCGCGCUACACUGAAGGAAGCAGCGUGUAACAACCUUGUUCUAACGAACUGGGUAACCCGUGGAACUUCCUUCAUGAUUGGGAUAGGGGUUUGCAAUUGUGCCCCUUGAACGAGGAAUUCCCAGUAAACACUAGUCAUCAGCUAGUGCUGAUUACGUCCCUGCCCUUUGUACACACCGCCCGUCGCUACUACCGAUUGAAUGGUUUAGUGA